AUACUCACGUGGUGAAGAGUACGUGAAACCAGGCACUUUCUCUUCGUAGAAAGCAACGCUAGGCUACGGCGGGAAAGCCGUACUGGUACGCGCGUCAUGAUGUCACCGGAAGUGAUCUUCACUAUCCGCCGUCGUACUACAGCCUAGCCGUACCAUAUCUUAGAGUCCCUAUUCAUUUCACGAGUACUGUGGACUCAAAGACCUCAUACAGUCUCAUAAUGCUAAGGACGUUCUGGUGUACCCUCUGACUUUGGUUAUUCCAGUAACCAACGAUUGAAAGCGAGGCUGCAAAACGGUUUUACUUCCGAUUGUUAAGCUGAACCGACUUACAAUUUGUCUUAUGCCUAAGUAUAGGAGAACCUACUCUGCGAGACCUAAAAAACUUGUCUCGUAUCCAGAUCUUACUCUGUUUGACACUGAAAAGUGAGAUCCAACCUCGUUCCCAGGCUCUCUCCUCUGCUUCCCGAACAAGGGAGGCAGAGGAUAGAGAGCCUGCAAACGAGGUUGGAAAUCUCCCUUGCGCUUGGCCGUGGGAAAUCUCGAUUCUAGAUUAGAUCGUUACGCUUUGGACAGCGAUAGUCGUAUUAAUAAAGGAUCGCUCAACUUUUUCUGUCGGUAGCGAUUAUAUGGGUUGUUUUCAUUUGCAUGAAGAAACCACUUCAUCAACGGUUGUGCAAAUGGUAAGCAAAAAUACCUGAUGGUAAGUUCCGUCCGUAUUGGCCAUAAAGAGACUAGGACGAGUUAAACCUGCUCAUAAUUCCAAAGGUGGGGGUACAAAAGAAUUGCAAAUGGUAAGCACAUUUUCCACUUGGAUAUUUAGGUUGGAAAUUUUGGACCACCUUUCAAGACGUUCCGUUUAAUUCGAAAAUUUUUCAGUCGACCCAGUCAAAAUUGUCAGUGUUACCAAUUACAUUCUUACCGAAAUUUCCGGAAUUUUCGGGAGAAUGGUAAACAACCAUGGAAACCAGCCUUAAAGGGUUCGAAGACAAGAAAUAAAGUACAGCUUAUUUGUUUGUGUACAGGAGAAAGCAAGAGCGCUAAAACACAGUGGCUGUUUUACGCCGGGUUUACGCUCGUUAGUAAAAUGUUCUGAAUAUCAAGCAGAGACUGUCCAUAACCUUCCCUUUAAGUAUUCAUCUAUGUUUGCCUGUUGCUCUUAACAUACUUUCACAGCACCAAAUCAGAGCUGAGAUUCUAAUGAGGCUCAAAUGGUUGGCGGAACUUCAUGAACAAAUUAAUCAUGAUUGUAACUUUAAUAUGGUGAAAUCACAAGUAACUCGACUCUUUUCAUCACGCGGCGUGCAUACUCAGAAUUGCUUGAAAAUCACUGACCCAUAAUGUACGCUUUGAAAACGUGAAAAUGAUCUCUAGCGUUUAUUUCCCAAAGCGAAUCAUAAAAUUCAACAACAACAGCAAUCUUUGUUUCGUUUGUCAACUGUCAUUGUUACAAUCCUACUACUCGGAUAGCUAGUGCUAGUCAAGGCGGCCCAGUUCUUUGUUUGUUUCCAUCUUAAUGUUCUAGAGAUCUCCAAACAGCAGUACGCCUGAGGAUCAAGUUUACACCCCCAGGGAGUGUUCAGCGAAAAAGAAAACAUCCAUUUACAACAUAUAAACCAAAGAAAUAUAUCUCUCAUUUUUUAAAAUGCAAAGAAAAAUCUUAACCGAGUUUCUGUUCUGCUGCUACAUUUGUUGCUAUCUACGUUAUAUUGAAAGCAAAUGGAAAUUUGCUCCUCAACUGUUCGACAAGAAACUCGAAAAUGGUUGUCUGGACAAUCGAAUUUUUUUGUAAGUAUGCUAUUGUAUUUAAACGAUAUGAGACAGCGAUACCUGUUACACAUACACCAAUAAAAAUCAAUUUGUUUUCCUUUAACAAAGAAGACCAAACGCAGAAUACUAGAGCUUAAAGGAUUGAAUUGUUCGGUUGAGUUCGCCGAGAGUACUGUUGCCUGCAGCCGGCUUAUAGUGUUGCCGCAGCCUUAUUGAAAUUUGCUGAGUUUCCAGCGAGUUUUCAUCAAACUAUCGUAUUUUGUCAGACCUCAGCGACAAGGAACCAGCACCUAGAACAAAAGCUUCACUCAAGGUUGUGCGAAAUUGUAGCUCGAAGUCAUGUGCCUCUACGUAAUAAUCCAAAGGAGACUCUGGAGGGCAAGAGGACAUCAGUUGCGAACUGAGGAGAAGCGAAACAAGGAAAGAGAAGAUGACCCACAAUUUACUGACUCCCUGAAAGUUGCCAUUAAAACAACAAAGAAAACUACAAAUGAAGAACAGAGAGAACAAGGUGUAUGACGCCUCAGUAGAGAGGAACGACGGUCCCGCUGACUUUCUUCACUGGUUCUUCACUGUUUCAGCGUUAUUGUUUAUUUGUUGAUCCAAAAUGAUGCCUUUCUGGGCAAAGUUGCCGGAACGCUGUGUCCUAUUGGCCCGCGUCCUGUAAAUAAUUCUUGUGGUGGCCACGGAUACAUUAGCCGCUUCAAGACUAUUUUGCUCAUCUUAGUAGUUUCAAUUACCUGCUGGUUUACACUGCCGAGUUACAUUAGGUUUUCCAUUUAUUAUCCUGACUUCUCAGGUCUAAGAGGUUUUCUUUUUCUACUGAAGCGAAAAAAAAAAAAAAAAAA